rnacentral:rRNA from 1 species
GACGAACGCUGGCGGCGUGCUUAACACAUGCAAGUCGAACGGUGAAGCGCUUUCCUUUUUGGUUGGUGUGGAUGAGUGGCGAACGGGUGAGUAACACGUGAGUAACCUGCCCCCUUCUUCUGGAUAACCGCAUGAAAGUGUGGCUAAUACGGGAUAUUCUGCGCCUGCUGCAUGGUGGGUGUGGGAAAGAUUGUGCCUUUGGGUGUUUUCGGUGGGGGAUGGGCUCGCGGCCUAUCAGCUUGUUGGUGGGGUGAUGGCCUACCAAGGCGGUGACGGGUAGCCGGCCUGAGAGGGUGGACGGUCACACUGGGACUGAGACACGGCCCAGACUCCUACGGGAGGCAGCAGUGGGGAAUAUUGCACAAUGGGCGCAAGCCUGAUGCAGCGACGCCGGGUGAGGGAUGGAGGCCUUCGGGUUGUGAACCUCUUUCGCCAGUGAAGCAGGCCUGCUCCUUGUGGGUGGGUUGACGGUAGCUGGAUAAGAAGCGCCGGCUAACUACGUG